UCCCGGUGCCGGGCCGGCCGCGGGAGGGACGGCGGGUCCCGGGCCAGGCGGCGGGCGGGUCCGGACCUUGCUGAUCGCCCGCCGUCCUCCCUCGCGAGUUGAGACCCGGAGGAAGUGGCCUCCCGCCUCUGGCCACGCGUUGUUUUUGCUUUAAAAAGCGGGUGGGCUGCCCCUCAUUCCCUGGUCGGGUGUGGCCGAAAGGCGGCUUCCGAAGCGCGGUGGUGUGAAUGCCGCUGCUUAGCCGGGGGCCCGGUGGGGACAGGCAUUCCUAGACCUGGUCCCCGGGCUCCAUACGCGGCCAGCCUGUGACCUUAGUUUUCCACACUCGAGUUAGGCGGGGACCGGGGAGGGGGACGGUAAAUGGGUUUUGGGGGUUCCUGGCCACGCGUAGGCCUGGUGGCAGGGUCUCUGGACGCCGAAUGCAAGCAGAACAGCCCACGAGAAGUGGCUCCUUGUGGGUUCGCGGGAGUUUUACAAAGGGCUGCUUUUCUUUUUCUCUAGGGAGUUUGCUAGAGACCGAGCACCUGGGAGGGCGUCCUGGGGUCCCAGCUCUUGGGUGGCCUCGGAUGGUGAGGAUGGUGAGGCGGUCCGGCCUUUGACAGCAGGAGGUAGGAGUGGGUCGCUGACAAGCAGGGAUGAGCAGAAGAGGGUAUUUGUUCCUUAAUCCAGGAAGGAAGGGGACUGCCAGCCUGUGAACGUGGGCCAGAAUAACACCGUCACCGUCCAGACCGAGGUGGAGAGGAGACGCUGGCCCCAGCAGGUGGAGAGCCCAGCCAGGCGAGAUCCAGGCCGUCCGCUCAGGGCGAGACACUCCCUGAUACAAAGCCGAGAAGUAGCAAGGUAUUUUGCAUUGCUUUCUGAAACGCUUGUGCAGAGUGUUGGCCUGUUGGAAAGCAGUCCUGUGGCGUGGGUCUGCGGGGCGAGGCGGGGAGUGUUGAACUGUUCAUUGGGCGCCCUCUGACUCCAAAAAACCCAAGAAAAGUAGACGCGAUUGAGAGCACAGACAAGGGGUCAAGAUACGUCGGGGGGCCAGGGCCUCCACUUUUGAUGCAGCGAUUGUUGGCAGAGCAGCCUCGCCUCUGCUUUCAGAGGAGCCCCCGCUCGGAGGCCGCCCCGCGCGGGUGUCUCGGGUCCUCAUUCUUCCUCCCCAGCCGCUGCGUCCCGCGGGGAGCAGAGGUUUCGAACUGCCCAGAGUCGGUGAUUCUAAACUGCUGCUUGUGCCGCGUGUGGACUAUUUCCCCUGCACACAAGGGAGGAAAAUGCGGACAGGAGAGGUGAUUUCAACGUAAGGUGGAACAGGUGUUGAGAACUAACGCUGAAGACACGGGAGGACGGCUGGAGUUGGGAACAGGUUUAGGCAAACGGUGGUGAAGUAAGCUGAAGGAUUGAGUGCUUUUAUUUUUCAAUAAAACUGUUUCUUUGUUGGCAAAACUCGAGACUAAACCGGUCUUGAAUAAGCCGUCUUGA